AUGGCCACUCUACAGGUGGGACACUGACUGCUCUUCUCCAGCCACACUUUGAUGCAGUUGGAGCAGAACACAUGGUUGUUGCAGCAAAUGACCGGCUGACGGACCUUUGAGGUGUAGAUCAGAACAAACCAACAGGUUCUUCCUAAAGAGAGUCAGACCUUAUUGUUCAGUGAUGAUUGACAGGAACUGAUCUUCUACAGCUACAGAUCAUCAAUUAUAUGAAGGUUUCUCCUUCUGAAGCCCCUCCCAAAAACACAGCCCAGAGCCCGGAGCCCGGAGCC